rnacentral:rRNA from 1 species
AUUGAACGCUGGCGGCAUGCUUUACACAUGCAAGUCGAACGGUAACAGGCCUUCGGGUGCUGACGAGUGGCGAACGGGUGAGUAAUGCAUCGGAACGUACCCAGAGGUGGGGGAUAACGCAGCGAAAGCUGUGCUAAUACCGCAUGUGAUCUGAGGAUGAAAGCGGGGGACCGAGCAGCAAUGUUUGGCCUCGCGCCUUUGGAGCGGCCGAUGUCGGAUUAGCCAGUUGGUGGGGUAAAGGCCUACCAAGGCGACGAUCCGUAGCUGGUCUGAGAGGACGACCAGCCACACUGGGACUGAGACACGGCCCAGACUCCUACGGGAGGCAGCAGUGGGGAAUUUUGGACAAUGGGCGCAAGCCUGAUCCAGCAAUGCCGCGUGCGGGAAGAAGGCCUUCGGGUUGUAAACCGCUUUUGGCAGGAACGAAACGGUGUCCGCUAAUACCGGGCGCUAAUGACGGUACCUGCAGAAUAAGCACCGGCUAACUACGUG